rnacentral:rRNA from 1 species
GACGAAGGGGGCUAGCGUUGUUCGGAAUUACUGGGCGUAAAGCGUGUGUAGGUGGUUGUCAUAGUCAGGCGUGAAAGCCUUGAGCUCAACUCAAGAAAUGCGCUUGAUACUGGGCAGCUAGAGGACCGGAGAGGAUAGUGGAAUUCCCAGUGUAGUGGUGAAAUACGUAGAGAUUGGGAAGAACACCAGUGGCGAAGGCGGCUAUCUGGACGGUUUCUGACACUAAGACUCGAAAGCGUGGGGAGCAAACAGG